rnacentral:rRNA from 1 species
CAGCCGCCGCGGUAAUACAGAGGGUGCGAGCGUUAAUCGGAUUUACUGGGCGUAAAGCGUGCGUAGGCGGCUUCUUAAGUCGGAUGUGAAAUCCCUGAGCUUAACUUAGGAAUUGCAUUUGAUACUGUUUGGCUUGAGUUCGGGAGAGGUGAGUGGAAUUCCCAGUGUAGAGGUGAAAUUCGUAGAUAUUGGGAAGAACACCAGUGGCGAAGGCGGCUCACUGGACCGACACUGACGCUGAGGCGCGAAAGCGUGGGGAGCAAACAGGAUUAGAUACCCCCGUAGUCCCUGUCUCUUAUAC